ANCUGCUCAGGAUGAACGCUGGCGGCGUGCUUAACACAUGCAAGUCGAACGAUGAUCCCAGCUUGCUGGGGGAUUAGUGGCGAACGGGUGAGUAACACGUGAGUAACCUGCCCUUGACUCUGGGAUAAGCCUGGGAAACUGGGUCUAAUACCGGAUAUGACUCCUCAUCGCAUGGUGGGGGGUGGAAAGCUUUUGUGGUUUUGGAUGGACUCGCGGCCUAUCAGCUUGUUGGUGGGGUAAUGGCCUACCAAGGCGACGACGGGUAGCCGGCCUGAGAGGGUGACCGGCCACACUGGGACUGAGACACGGCCCAGACUCCUACGGGAGGCAGCAGUGGGGAAUAUUGCACAAUGGGCGCAAGCCUGAUGCAGCGACGCCGCGUGAGGGAUGACGGCCUUCGGGUUGUAAACCUCUUUCAGUAGGGAAGAAGCGAAAGUGACGGUACCUGCAGAAGAAGCGCCGGCUAACUACGUGCCAGCAGCCGCGGUAAUACGUAGGGCGCAAGCGUUAUCCGGAAUUAUUGGGCGUAAAGAGCUCGUAGGCGGUUUGUCGCGUCUGCUGUGAAAGACCGGGGCUCAACUCCGGUUCUGCAGUGGGUACGGGCAGACUAGAGUGCAGUAGGGGAGACUGGAAUUCCUGGUGUAGCGGUGAAAUGCGCAGAUAUCAGGAGGAACACCGAUGGCGAAGGCAGGUCUCUGGGCUGUAACCUGACGCUGAGGAGCGAAAGCAUGGGGAGCGAACAGGAUUAGAUACCCUGGUAGUCCAUGCCGUAAACGUUGGGCACUAGGUGUGGGGGACAUUCCACGUUUUCCGCGCCGUAGCUAACGCAUUAAGUGCCCCGCCUGGGGAGUACGGCCGCAAGGCUAAAACUCAAAGGAAUUGACGGGGGCCCGCACAAGCGGCGGAGCAUGCGGAUUAAUUCGAUGCAACGCGAANAACCUUACCNAAGGCUUGACAUGAACCGGUAAUACCUGGAAACAGGUGCCC
rnacentral:rRNA from 1 species